ensembl:lncRNA
GCUCCGUCACGUGGGACCUCUUAGCCUCAGCGCCCCAACUCCGGGAAGGGGCAGUUUCCAAUCGGAUACGCUCCACACGCACGUCCUUCCUUUGGUAAGUUUGUACUAAUUCCCCACAGUCUCACGGACUUCUGCGUUGCAUGAGUUUUUGCCAGACCGGUCUGCAUCGCCCGGAUGACAGAAAUGCUAAGAAAAUGUAAUUUUUUUUUUAUUUUUUUUUUAUUUUUUUUUACUUAACUUCUAGGAUGUUUUAAGUUUCCAAGUGCCUGGUGUGUUUUCUCUUUGUUCUUCAUUCCGUUCAGUUUGCUUAGCCGAUUCACGACGUUGGCACGAUAGCGUGUGGGAAAAUUGCUGGAGUCAUGAAAAGGGGAGAUUAGCCCCAAAAGGCCAUUCUUUAAAUGCCUUUUGUCGACUUCCCCUCUUUUUUUUUUUUUUUUUUUUUUUUCCCUCCCAAAAAAANGAGGAGAGGGGUCUGAAAUUUACAUUGAAAAGGUGUGUGGAUUGCUACUGAUGGAUUUUUACUGUCCUCUGGAAAGGUGGGAAUUUCUAACGAUUCCUUUUUUUUUGUUUCCUUGUCUGAUUUCUAGAAACCUUCAGCCCUCAAGAUCCGGAGAUAACCUGGAAGAUCCCAACAUCAUGACCUCAGUUUCAACACAGUUGUUCUUGGUCGUCAUUUCACUGCUUUUGGUGCUGCCGGUGGUUGAAGCAGUAGAAGCUGGAGAUGCAAUCGCUCUCCUGUUAGUGCUUUUGCUACAUGACCGAAGUUUAUGAAGAAGUUUAUGGAAAUACAGCUCAGAAAGGCUGUGUGAUAUAGUGAAAAAAUACUGAAGAGUCAAAGAGAUAAGGACCCUAGCUCUGGCUACAGCGUAAGCAAACAGGUAAUGGGGCACUGGGCAAAUCACUUACAAGUUGAUAUGGGCCUUAUUUUCUCAAUCCAUAAAGAAAAAUACAAAUGAGUAGAAAUGGUCUACCUAAUACACCUAUUCCACUGACAGGCAGUUUGAACAAGAGUUCCUCUUUGACAAAGGAUGUGCAAGGUAAAAGAAGGCCUUGUCAGGGAAGUUACCCAGAAGUGGGGCCAGUCUUGGAAAAAGACGGAAGUAGGUCCUUGAGAGAUGACAUGAUUUAAGGAAAACCAGCAGGAGACACCCAAAACCAAAAUGCCUAUGUGCUAUACACUCUUCAGGAUUUUUGUGAUAUCUGUAAGUCUACUGCUAAUGGUGCCUCUUCUAAGUCUUGAAGUCUUCCUCUAUUGAAUGCUAAUAUAACCGGGGGUCUGCACAUUAAACUAAAAACGAGAACCUCCAAAUGGAACUCCAGAUUGGGAUUAGACUCUUGAGAUUGGGACUAGGAAGAGGAUGAUGGAUAAAAUUUCCUAGGGAGAGCCCAAGGGUGUGAAUGCCCACCGCCCCCGCCCCCCCACACACACCACACAAUAUACAGACAGUUAAACUGUGUGACCAAGGUUUGGCCCUGCUCACAACAAUGUUUAAUGGGGGGCAUCUGGGUGGUGCAGUUGGUUGGUCCAACUCUUGGUUUUGGCUCAGGCCAUGAUCUCAGGGUUGUGGAAUCCAGCCCUGUGUCUAACUCUGUGCUCAGUGUGGAGUCUGCUUGUGAUUGUCUCUCUCUCUUCCCCCGUCCCUCCCACUCAUGCUCUCUCUCUCUCAAAUAAAUAAAUAAAUAUUUAUAAAAAACCA